rnacentral:rRNA from 1 species
CCCUUAGAUGUUCUGGGCCGCACGCGUGCUACACUGAGUGGAUCAGCGGGUCAGGUUGCGCGAAAGUGUUUCCUAAUCUUGAAAUCCGCUCGUGAUGGGGAUUGACGGUUGCAAUUUUCCGUCAUGAACGAGGAAUACCUUGUAAGCGCGGGUCAUCAUCCCGCGCUGAAUACGUCCCUGCCCUUUGUACACACCGCCCGUCGCUCCUACCGAUUGAAUGGUCCGGUGAGGCUUUGGGAUCUGAGCAAAGAGAGCGUUUCGCUCGUUUUGCCCGGAAAACUCAGUCGAACCUUAUCAUUUAGAGGAAGGAGAAGUCGUAACA